CCGGAUUUAUUGGGCGUAAAGCGAGCGCAGGCGGUCAAUUAAGUCUGAUGUGAAAGCCCCCGGCUCAACCGGGGAGGGUCAUUGGAAACUGGUUGACUUGAGUGCAGAAGAGGAGAGUGGAAUUCCAUGUGUAGCGGUGAAAUGCGUAGAUAUAUGGAGGAACACCAGUGGCGAAGGCGACUCUCUGGUCUGUAACUGACGCUGAGGCUCGAAAGCGUGGGGAGCGAACAGGAUUAGAUACCCUGGUAGUCCACGCCGUAAACGAUGAGUGCUAGGUGUUAGGUCCUUUCCGGGACUUAGUGCCGCAGCUAACGCAUUAAGCACUCCGCCUGGGGAGUACGACCGCAAGGUUGAAACUCAAAGGAAUUGACGGGGGCCCGCACAAGCGGUGGAGCAUGUGGUUUAAUUCGAAGCAACGCGAAGAACCUUACCAGGUCUUGACAUCCCGAUGCCCGCUCUAGAGAUAGAGCUUUACUUCGGUACAUCGGUGACAGGUGGUGCAUGGUUGUCGUCAGCUCGUGUCGUGAGAAG
rnacentral:rRNA from 1 species